ACCAGUGGGAAAGAGCUGUGUCGUGAUAAAGGAAAGCGGACAACCUUGAUAAAGCUUUUAAAGGAAUUCCUUCCUUUCCCCACUGUUACCUGUCUGGCCGCAAAUCACUCACAGCCAGACGGAGCGAGGCUUGCAAGAGCUGACUUACUGGCAGAGACCAAACUGUGUCACUUCUCAAAGCGGGAGCAGCCAGACCUGCUGCAGAAGCAGCCUUCCUUCUAGAUUUCAACAUGGAAUUUUUAUGUGGUUGUGCUUGCUCCUCUUCGGUGUUAUAAAACAGUCAAGCAAGAUGAAUAUGGCUGGGAGCUCCUUCCGAGUGAACUGCAGCAAAAGCAAAUGAGCAAACCAAGAGAGAAGACACCGGAUUUGGGAAACCAUGACUGAGAUACAAGAGUGUGAUAAUACCAGAAUCAUGUCCAGGCCCUACAUCCUGAGGAAUCCUGAGAUCUCUGAGCCAAGACUGAAGCCAAAUAAGAAAAGCUUCAGGAGAAGAUCAUUAAGGAGAAAGUUACCAGUAGUCAAACGCUGUCCGGAAGCAGAACCUCCUCCUUCAGAAGGUCAAGAGUAGCAAACACCACAUCACGAUGCCGCCGUUGUUCACUUCUCUGCAUAGUAUCAGAAUCCUCUAAAAGUGUGAUGGGGAAAACAAGUCAGAUUGCAGACGCAAGAGAUGAGCAAGUCGAGGCAGCAAAUGUCGACUACCGUUUCAACAAAUUGGAGUGGAGAUUAUUCAGGGAUGCGGAAGCUGAGCAGUAAGAAAAGGCAGAAAAGGAAGCCAGGCCAAGUGAGGACUGUUUUUUGUUUCUUGUUUUUUGUUUUUGUUUUUGUUUUUGAGGGAAGGAAAUAAGACAAGGAUUUUUUUAUAGACUAGGGUUACAUGCAAUCAAAUAAAAGAGGUUGAAGACA